rnacentral:rRNA from 1 species
CUACGGGGCGCUGCAGUGGGGAAUAUUGCACAAUGGACGAAAGUCUGAUGCAGCAACGCCGCGUGGAGGAUGACACUUUUCGGAGCGUAAACUCCUUUUAUAUAGGAAGAUAAUGACGGUACUAUAUGAAUAAGCACCGGCUAACUCCGUGCCAGCAGCCGCGGUAAUACGGAGGGUGCAAGCGUUACUCGGAAUCACUGGGCGUAAAGAGCGUGUAGGCGGAUAGAUAAGUCAGGAGUGAAAUCCUAUGGCUCAACCAUAGAACUGCUCUUGAAACUGUCUAUCUAGAAUAUGGGAGAGGUAGAUGGAAUUUCUGGGGUAGGGGUAAAAUCCGUAGAGAUCAGAAGGAAUACCGAUUGCGAAGGCGAUCUACUGGAACAUUAUUGACGCUGAGACGCGAAAGCGUGGGGAGCAAACAGGAUUAGAUACCCGUGUAGUC